UACAGAGGUCCCAAGCGUUGUUCGGAUUCACUGGGCGUAAAGGGUGCGUAGGCGGCAAGGUAAGUCUAAUGUGAAAUCCCGUAGCUCAACUGCGGAACUGCAUCGGAUACUAUCUUGCUAGAGAGUUGGAUGGGGGACUGGAAUUCUCGGUGUAGCAGUGAAAUGCGUAGAUAUCGAGAGGAACACCAGUGGCGAAGGCGAGUCCCUGGAAAACUUCUGACGCUGAGGCACGAAAGCCAGGGGAGCAAACGGG
rnacentral:rRNA from 1 species